rnacentral:rRNA from 1 species
CCUACGGGAGGCAGCAGUCGGGAAUAUUGCGCAAUGGAGGAAACUCUGACGCAGUGACGCCGCGUAUAGGACGAAGGUCUUCGGAUUGUAAACUAUUGUCGUUAGGGAAGAGAAAGGACAGUACCUAAGGAGGAAGCUCCGGCUAACUACGUGCCAGCAGCCGCGGUAAU